CAAUAGCGUAUAUUAAAGUUGUUGCAGUUAAAAAGCUCGUAGUUGGAUUUGGGACUGGAGUCGCUCGGUCGGCCGUGAGGUCUGUUACUGAGCGGCUCUGUCAUUACAUUUCUCAGAGACCUGUCGUGUACUUAACUGUGCGCGGCAUGGGAUUUGGGACGUUUACUUUGAAAAAAUUAGAGUGUUCAAAGCAGGCUUUUCAAGCCCGAAUACAUGAGCAUGGAAUAAUGGAAUAGGACCGCGGUUCUAUUUUGUUGGUUUCUACGACCGCAGUAAUGAUUAAGAGGGACAAUUGGGGGCAUCCGUAUUUCGUUGUCAGAGGUGAAAUUCUUGGAUUUACGAAAGACGAACAACUGCGAAAGCAUUUGCCAAGAGUGUUUUCAUUAA
rnacentral:rRNA from 1 species